rnacentral:piRNA from 1 species
CACAGAACUCUUACACAAGUGAGAUC